AGGAAUGUAGUAAAAGUCAUGAAUGAAAAGGAGACGGUGAAAGAGUGACAGCAUGACAGACCGAGCAGGAAUCUAGACAGAUGUAAUGGAAGGGAAAGACGCUCACCCAGUGAUCGGCUAAAUGAACCAGUUCAGGAGACGUGUGUGUGUGUGUGUGUGUGUGUGUGUGUGUGUGUGUGUGUGUGUGUGUGUGUGUGUGUGUGUGUGUGUGUGUGUGUGUGUGUGUGUGUGCGCGUGUGUGUGUGUGUGUGUGUGUGUGUGUGUGUGUGUGUGUGUGUGUGUGUGUGUGUGUGUGUGUGUGUGUGUGUGUGUGUGUGUGUGUGUGUGUGUGUGUGUGUGCGUUUGUAUUCAUGACAUCUCAGGACAAUUUCAUGAUAACACACCUUCACAAUGAGGACCUGUGGAAAAAUGAGGACAUUUUUCGCGUCCUCAUAUUUCCACGCAGUCUACACUACUCUAGAGCUCACGAGGAUACUCCCACACCAAAAAUAAGUGAUGUCCUGAAAGAGCACAAUUUUCAGAAAUUGUGUGUUUAAGUGUGUUUAACUUUCGACUCACUUUUCAUUUGGAAAACUAGUGGCCAACUUCGGUACUUAACACACUUUUAACACACUUUCAGUGACGUCAUUGUGCAGGACCUCAAAUGUCAUCUUUUUCGGACUGACUCACACAUUUUCCCCGCCCUCGUCCUGAUAAGUCACAUCAAUUAGCAGUCACACAAAAUCCAACAUGUGAAGCAGCCAGACAAUCCUACUCUCAAACACGACCACGCGUGGAUGACCAUCGGGUAAGCAAUUCCUUUUCAUUUAUCUUACCGUAACAUAUAAGUUGUUCAAUAUAACCGUGUUUAACAGUGCCCACCAAAGGUAAUAUCAUUCAAUAAGACAGCUAGCUAGCUAGCUAGCUCGAUCGUUAGCAUGCUAAUAAGCUUCCAGUAAAAGUAAUGUGGACAUGUCCUGCAGGCAAGGUUCUGGAAAACUUUUCUAAAUCUUUAACAACACAGUCUGUGGAACUUGGUUUUGGUACCAUAUGUUUAUUUCAGUGCAGUAUUUGUUUUAUUCGAUUGCAGUUAAUUUAAAUUAGUUAGUACAGGUAGCCUAAUGAAAGUGGGCCAUGCACUUCUAGCAUUUACGCUAAGCCCGGUGUAUUUACACUGUUUAUUCUUGUGCUGAUUCAAUUGUACACCGUUUCAAUGAAAAAAACAAACAAACGUUUGCAAUGAAAUUAUAGCAGAAUUCAGCUUUGUUGGUACAUUUGGUCAAGACAAUAUUGUGUUACUCUAUUUUAAUUUUACAUUGUUAUCUGCCUGACAAAUGGUUUGCCCGAAUCUAUUAGUCUGACCAGCAAAUGUUUGAUGAAAUGAAUUUUUGUAUUUUUGAGGAAGAAAAUAAUAUUCCUUUGGCUCAGUACUUUUUGAGCCAAAAUAAGUGCUGCCAUAAUAUUGUGCUUGCUUGUCUGGCUGACUUCUUCUCACUUUCCAUUGUAGAUGUUUACUGGUGGUGAUAAUGUCACAAAGAAGAACCAGACUGAGCCCUGAAUCUGAGGCUGCUCCUUUUAUCUGGAGUCAACAAGCCUUGUUUGAAAGCCCAGUGGAUCAAUGAUUAUAAAGACACCAAGUGACGGGAUCUUGACUGAACCUUCUGGAGACCAAGAAGGGAGUGAGAGAUCCACUUCAUCCUUACAACAGACACCAAGUGACCUGACUGAACCCUCUGGAGACCAUGAAUGGAAUGAUA